UACGGGGGGGGCAAGCGUUGUUCGGAAUUACUGGGCGUAAAGGGCGCGUAGGCGGCCUGCUAAGUCGAACGUGAAAUCCCUGGGCUCAACCCAGGAACUGCGUCCGAUACUGGUUGGCUUGAAUCCGGGAGAGGGACGUGGAAUUCCAGGUGUAGCGGUGAAAUGCGUAGAUAUCUGGAGGAACACCGGUGGCGAAGGCGACGUCCUGGACCGGUAUUGACGCUGAGGCGCGAAAGCCAGGGGAGCAAACGGG
rnacentral:rRNA from 1 species